rnacentral:lncRNA from 1 species
AAUGUAUUCAUUUUAUAUUACUAUAUUACAUAUAGUUACAUAUUAUGUUGUUAUUCUGUCAUAUACUAUUAUAUUAUAUACAAUUUUAUAAUUAUGUUCUCUGGGUAGAUGAGUCCCACCCACCAACAUGCAAACUCCCCCAACAACAACGUUGCCCUUUUGCUGUUUUACCCUCACCCUGAGACCAGCGGCCGGAGAACUGACCUCGAAAAGAACUUCUUCCCCAGGGCAGGGCCCCAUCAUCUUCUUCCAGCUCCUCACCCAAGGCUCUGAGACGAUGGACAAAAUGACCCGUCUGGGGCCAACAUGGGAAUGCUGCCUUCUCACCAGAGCCGGCCCUGAUGUUUAACUGGUGACAUGCUCGUCCUCCUUGGGCACCAAGCAAACAGCUGAGAUUAGCACCCGGCUAAUGAGAAGAAACAAGCUAAAACGGGGCUCUGGAGGCUGCUGCCCAUCCCAUCCUGUCCCCUCUCUGCCCAGGGAGGUCUUGUCCUGUUUCCCUCCAAGAGAAUUGUCCCAGGCCCCAAAAUGGCUAGAUCAUAGCUCUGGUUUCCAUAGAUUCAGUUCAUCACAUUAAGUAUGGACCAGAAACCGAGACUUCCUUGAGCCCAGAGCCUGACACUUUCAGAACCAGUGGGCAAAACCAGUGGGAAUGAGAAAGAUGAAUUUGAAUUCUCCCCAAAGAAACAGCCAUAGAGCUGUUCUACUCAGCCACUGAGCAGUUAGUGAAUGCCUACUGCUCCUAAGACACUUGUCAUAGAGUUUGGGGAAAAGGGAAAACUAAUGAAUUAAAAAUUAAUUUUAAAAAAUGAUCUAAUCCAUCAGUUAAAUGAUCCAUUCUGAUGAUCCGAAGGUGUUUACUGAGUGAUUACUGUGUAGGGCAAUGUGCUAACACUGGGGAUACAAAGAAAUGCAAAAACCCAGUUCCUGCCCUCAAGAAGCUUAUAUUCUGCCAGGGAAGGCACAUAUAAGCAACUAGGUAAUAUGAGAUGUAUCAGGAGGAAGAAUGGCCCAAUAAGUUCUGUAAGUCAGAGGAGGGAAAACUGAGCCAGGGCAGGCUUCAUGCAGGAGGCAGGCCUGGAGAAUGGGUGGGAUUUAGAUCCUCAGGAGGAGAAACGAGUCCAGCAUGAACAAGACUUGGGUGGAAAUGCUUAAGUGAGGAGGCCUAGGAAUGGCAGCCUUAAGGAUUUGUUUAGAGGAAAAAUGGGAAAUAAAUCUAGAAAGGAAGGGAGGUGAGUGCUAAAGCCAGGCCAUGAGGGCCUUGAGUGCUAAAAGAAGGGGCUUGGCCCCCUCUCUGAAAGGCAAUGGGGAGUUGCUGAGGUCUCAAGUAAGAACAGAGGCAGUGUCCUAGUGACAGGGCACUGGAAGACCCCAGACCUUUACUCACGGGGCAAUUCCUUAACUUGGCUGUGCCUCUGCAUUUACAAAAUGAGGAGAUCA